rnacentral:rRNA from 1 species
GUACGGGAGGCAGCAGUGGGGAAUAUUGCACAAUGGGCGAAAGCCUGAUGCAGCAACGCCGCGUGAGUGAUGAAGGCCUUCGGGUUGUAAAGCUCUGUCUUUGGGGACGAUUAUGACGGUACCCAAGGAGGAAGCCACGGCUAACUACGUGCCAGCAGCCGCGGUAAUACGUAGGUGGCAAGCGUUGUCCGGAUUUACUGGGCGUAAAGGAUGCGUAGGCGGAUAUUUAAGUCAGAUGUGAAAUACCCGAGCUUAACUUGGGUGCUGCAUUUGAAACUGGAUAUCUAGAGUGUGGGAGAGGAAAGUGGAAUUCCUAGUGUAGCGGUGAAAUGCGUAGAGAUUAGGAAGAACACCAGUGGCGAAGGCGACUUUCUGGACCAUAACUGACGCUGAGGCAUGAAAGCGUGGGGAGCAAACAGGCUUAGAUACCCUGGUAGA